rnacentral:lncRNA from 1 species
UGGGGAACUGCCAUCUUUCUCUACCUUACAGUUUUGUUUGUUGAGAUGUGUUUAGCCACAGCAUCCUUUUUGUAGAAUUCUAGGUUUUAUGUAUAGAGACACUGCAACAACAUAUGUAGGGAAGAUACCAGUUGACUAUAGAGGAGGUUUAAUAAAAGCCUUUGUUCUUUGCUUCUAGGUAUUCAUAGCAGUGUAACCCACAAUGUGAGAACACCAUUGGUAACUCUGAUGUACUGUUUAAGAUGCCUAAUCCUAUUAUCCAAAUAAAAUCUGUUGAUGUUCUCCAGGGGAGUAAGCUGUGAUGGGGACAGAGAUGGUGGUGUUGACCCAUAUCCAAGAGAGCCUGGCCUCUGGGCUGAGAGAGGAGACUGCUUAAGGAUGUUAGGUGAUGAAAUAAGAAGAGACAGGCCUGGUCUAUCAAGUGGUAUAAUUUCAGGGGGCACAAAGAAUAUAUCCUGCCCUCAAAGAUUUGCAUUAACCAUUUGCUGUUGCUUGGAAUUCCACAACUGAAAAUUUUUUCCCUUGAUUUAAGUCUUUUGAGACCCUAUGAAAAUUGAAGACUCCAGGAAAGAGUUUGAUUGUGAAGCAUUUUGCUCAUGUGAGUAGAAGUAUAAAUGAAUUUAUGAGAUUGAUUUCUGAGAACUAGACUAAGGCAGGGACAGAGAGGAGAAAGCAUUGUGCCUCUAGUCAUAGGGAUAGGAAGGAGACACCAUUGAAUUUGAGAUAAAGGGCCUGAAAAGAAAAGUUGAGCCCCUAAAGAAACACUUUGUUUUCUUCACAGUUUUGCCUGAGGAAAGAUAAGGAGCUGAGAGUGGUGGGGAUGGAGGCUCUUGAACUCAAGAGAGGGUGCUGAGGAGUUCCCAUUGUGGUAUAGUAGAACGAAUUCAACUAGGAACCAUGAAAUUGUGGGUUCGAUCCCUGGCCUCACUCAGUGGGUUAAGGAUCCGGUGUUGCCGUGAGCUUUGGUGUAGGUCACAGACGAGGCUCGGAUCUGGUGUUGCUGUGGCUCUGGUGUAGGCCAGCAGCUGUAGCUCUGAUUCAACUCCUAGUCUGGGAACCUCUAUAUGCCUUGGGUAUGGCCCUAAAAAUAGCAAAAAGGGGAGGGGACGCUGAGGAGAGAGAUUUCCUACUAGUGUGAUGGAUAUGCAGUCAUGGUGUUGUCUGGAGAAUAGCUGACAGGCAGAAUGUAAUAAGGAGUGUAGGACCUUGGAGUGUGGUUUGCUGUGAUAUUCUCAGACAAGACCGUCACAGAUCUUAGGAAGCAGGAGGCAGC